rnacentral:ncRNA from 1 species
CGGGGUCGGGCAGGCACCCCAUCAGACGGUUCUCCGUCUAAGUUCGGU